rnacentral:tRNA from 1 species
CAGGGUGGCUCAGUGGUAGAGCACAUGUUUUGCAUUUAUGAGAACUUGGGUUUGAUCCCUAGCACUG